AUGCCGCGGCCACGCGCUCCGGCUUCCGCCGCCGACUUGGUCGCCGCCAAGCUCGCCGCCCAAGGAAUCAGAGCCCAUCAGGUCGACCCCGACUACCUCAGCCACCUCCAGCACCUCCACCCCAACGGCGAUUCCUCCGCAGACUUGGUCGCCGCCAAACUCGCCGCCCAAGGAAUCAGCGCCCAUCAGGUCGACCCCGACUACCUCAGCCACCUCCAGCACCUCCACCCCGACGGCGAUUCCUCCGCCGACUUGGUCGCCGCCAAGCUCGCCGCCCAAGGAAUCAGCGCCUAUCAGGUCGACCCCGACUACCUCAGCCACCUCCAGCACCUCCACCCCGGCGGCCAUUCCUCCGCCCUCGAGCGCCCUGCCCGCGGCCGUCCCGGCACCCCUCCCCACGCCAUCAAGUGCGAGCAGCCCGAGGAUGGCGAAGCCCGAAGCGCCCCUCUCCCCUACCCAGCCCCGGAAGGAGGCGACCGCCCGGUGGAGGAGAAGAAACCCCCCGCGGAGAUCCCUGGGGACGAAACCGCGGACAUGGAUGAGCACUACAGCACAUUCUGGAGGCACACGCGGGUGGUUGACGACAUGCUGGUGUUCGAGAUGGACGGCGAGGUUCUCAGCUACGGACAGGUGGACAGGGCUGCUGGGACAGACAAGAAGGAUGGGGAGGAAGCGGCUGCUCGGGCUGCUUCAGGGGACAACGUUGGCGGCGUUAGGAAGGAGAAGUGGAAGGUGGGCAGGCCUGCGCUGAAGGCUCCUGCGCGCGAUUCCCCUCCGCAUUGGCAAAAGGGUCGGAAGAAGAAGAAAGGAGCAAAAAAUGGUGGUAAGAAGAUCCAGCUUGAGGAGGAAAAGGAAGAUAAAGGCGGAGGAGCUAAAAAUCGUGCUAAGAAGACCAAGUAUCGUGUGCGCGAUUCCCCUGCGCAUCGGCAGAAGAGUCAGGGAGAGAAGGACGGAGGAGAAAAUGGUGCUGAGAAGAUCAAGGAGGAGGAGGAGGAGGAAGAGGAGAAGGUGCCAGUGAUUAGCACGGGUAGGCCUCCGCUGAAGGCUCGUGUUCGCGAUUCCCCUGCGCUUUGGCAACAGGGUCAGAAGGAGAAGAAGGGAGUGAAAAAUGGUGCUAAGAAGAUCAAGUUGGAGGAUGAUGAUGAAGAGAAGCCUUCGAGGGAGCUGUCUGUGAAAACACUGAAUACUGUGAACAGAGAAAAGAAUUCAAGACAUGAUGCCGAGCCUCACAGACAUGAUCCGGGCUUAGAUGGUGUUGUAUGGCCUACACACAUAAUGGAGAGGCCAGAUUCAGAAUUCAAGGAAAGGUUGAUGUGUGUUCUCCGCAAACCAUUUAGCCAGGGAGAAUACGAUAUGUUGCUUGGCAAUGCUAGAAUUCGCCUUCCGGCAACAAAGAAAAGGCAGACGCGCAGCGGUGUGAAGUACUACGACUCAACACAUGAAAGGGUACAAUCAUAUUUUGAUUGUCACCCAGAUCUUGCGAAACAAGUACGUGUAGAAAGCACCAGCAAACCCAAUCAGCUAGCUCUGUUGCGUGGAUUUUUCUUCUGGAUGGAGGCCAUGGAGUGA
rnacentral:rRNA from 1 species